UUCAUAGAAACAAUAAAAGAUUUCCCGCCACUACCCAUCAUAUUAAUUCAGUGCUCGCUCAGAGAAGACCACCCGCGUUGUGUAACCCAUCUCUUUUUUUGUUUUUUACUUUUUUUUGGACGUUUUUAUCUUUUAUUGUGUGUGUUAGAACUUUAUUAUGGAUAAAAGUCAGGAUUAUAUUAUAAUUCAACAUCGCUCGGACUCUCCGAAUUCCCGAUCUGUAGAUAAUUCUACGGCGAAGGACCAAGAGAUGCUGACGCCAUUAAUUAACAUGGCAGGGCACGCUGCCUCAGAGCAGCUCACUAAAGUGCCCACAGAGGCUUCAAUGCCAAACAUUUGUGGUUCUAAUCCCACCUUUUCUGUGGCAAUGCCACAAUUGAGCAUCGCUGGCUCAAAUAAUGAUCUCGUUUCUCGAGACGAUUACAAGUUGAAGAUGCGUCGUGUAAUCCGAUACGCCAUCCAUUUAGUGGAUCUCCUUUGGCGCAAGGUUUGCCCAUUCGGUGGCUUUGCCAAUCUGCGCCAAAUAUGAAGCCAUUAAUUGCAACAGCAGUUGCUCAAUUUACGGAAAAGCGUUCUUCCGAUGUUCCUGCUACUAAAACUUUUCCGGAUUCGGCUGCACGAUCAGAUCUUAGUUCUACCGGAAAUUCGACUGACGUCACACCUAACAUGGCGGCGCCCAUGAUUGAUCAACAUACAGUGGCUUCGUUGCAUAAAGCCUUGGGAUUAGACACCAUCUUAGUAAGAUCUAUAAAAGAGUUAUCAUCAUUGAUAACAGACAAUAAGUGACAUGAAGAAAAACAUGAGGAAAAAGACGACGAUCGGCCUUCAAAACGAAUGAAAUUGACAAAUGACGACCGGGAUAGAGAUGACAUUUCUGAUACUGAAGAAAAAGCCGAUGAAGACAUGCCGAGAAUUCCAAACUCAAAUGAAGGACAGGGUAUUCUCUUGGAUCUGAAAAAUUUAAUCACAAAAUGGGAGAGACCUCAGAUUGGCAUCAACUUCAAUAAUCCAUACAAUUAUUAUGUUCGUAAGGCACAGGAAUCAUCGGCGGUGUCGAGAAAUGAAAACUGGGAGGAAUCGGUAUUAACACCCCCAAAACCCUGUAAAUUUACAUCAACAUCAGAACGGAAAUCUCCCUUCAGCUGUACUGUUCCUGGCCCAGAUUCACUCACAACAGUGACAGACUUUAACUGUUUUGAACCCGGAGAGAACAAGGGACUACACGUAUAUAUCCUCCUGUUACGUAAAGAGGCCCGACGGCUUCUUCAGGCAGUCCAAAUGCCUACUUGUUCUCGACUCAAUGCGUGCACAUAUCAGCGACAUCACAAAAGAUCGCAUCAAAGCCACAGACUCCAUCCCUGCCGUUAUCCCGGAGGCCUGACGAAGAUCCUACAGCCCCUGGAUAUAUCGGUCAACAAGUGCUUCAAGACAGAGAUGCGGAAGAUGUGGGAGAGCUGGAUGUCAACUGGGGAAAAGAGCUUCACGAACAACGGCCGUAUGCGGGGAGCAUCAUACCAGACCGUCUGCCAGUGGGUAAAAGAUGCGUGGAUGGCAGUCCCUCCCUCUGCCAUCAUCAGUGGAUCCGUGAAAGCCGAGAUCGACGAUGUUCCGUUGCCAGAAGACGAAGAACCUCCACUGGCUGCAUCAACCGACGACCUGCCGUUGACACUUGCCGCCUUGUUCCACAGGGAUAGUGAAAGUUCAGACUUUGAGAGCUUCGAUUCCGAUGCAGACGAGAGAUGUGCUUGAACAUUGAACAGUGAUGUGACUGUGUGCUAAAAUUGUGAACUCAACAUGUGUACACAAAGAACA
rnacentral:sRNA from 1 species